CCCUUAGAUGUUCUGGGCCGCACGCGCGCUACACGGAUGCAUUCAACGAGUCUAAAACCUGCUCUGAUAGGGGUGGGUAAUCUUUUGAAUGUGCAUCGUGAUUGGGAUAGAUGAUUGCAAUUUUUCAUCUUCAACGAGGAAUGCCUAGUAAACGCAAGUCAUCAGCUUGCAUUGAUUACGUCCCUGCCCUUUGUACACACCGCCCGUCGCUCCUACCGAUUGAAUGAUCCGAUGAAUAUCAUGGAUUGAGGAUGCAAGCAGGUUCGCCUGUCUUCAUCUUCGAGAAGUGAAGUAAAUCUUAUCAUUUAGAGGAAGGAGAAGUCGUAACA
rnacentral:rRNA from 1 species